rnacentral:rRNA from 1 species
GAGUAACACGUGGUUGAUCUGCCCUGUACUUCGGGAUAAGCCUGGGAAACUGGGUCUAAUACCGGAUAUGACCUUACAUCGCAUGGUGUUUGGUGGAAAGAUUUAUCGGUACAGGAUGGGCCCGCGGCCUAUCAGCUUGUUGGUGGGGUAAUGGCCUACCAAGGCGACGACGGGUAGCCGGCCUGAGAGGGCGACCGGCCACACUGGGACUGAGACACGGCCCAGACUCCUACGGGAGGCAGCAGUGGGGAAUAUUGCACAAUGGGCGAAAGCCUGAUGCAGCGACGCCGCGUGAGGGAUGACGGCCUUCGGGUUGUAAACCUCUUUCGACAGGGACGAAGCGCAAGUGACGGUACCUGUAGAAGAAGCACCGGCCAACUACGUGC